rnacentral:rRNA from 1 species
UCUUGACUGAAUAUGGGGGGCCCAUCCUCCAAGGCUAAAUACUACCAAUUGACCGAUAGUGAACCAGUACCGUGAGGGAAAGGCGAAAAGAACCCCGUAGAGGGGAGUGAAAUAGAUCCUGAAACCGUAUACGUACAAGCAGUAGGAGCAGACUUGUUCUGUGACUGCGUACCUUUUGUAUAAUGGGUCAGCGACUUAU